GGGGGGGGGGGGGACACUUCACCUUCAGUUUCAGGAGACAAGACUGAAGGACACAGAGAGCAUCUGAGUGACGUUUAAAACUCUAACUAUCCACGUUCAUGUAUGACUGAUACCUUAAGGGGGCUGAACGCCUCCACAUACGCAAGAAAAGGUAGCAGAGUACAGGGAUCUGGGAGAAUUCAGGUCGAGGUCCCCGCUGAAAAGGGAGAUAAAGUCAGAGGGCAUCGCAAUCCCUCAGACCGAGGAAACCGGACACCCUCAGUCACACAGCGGCGCGUCGCUCAACUCUUUUCGAUUGUCUCUGUGACGGACGGAAACCCCCAAAACUUCUCUUCUCUCGUCUGGAGAGUAACUUCAGCGUUAUCGAUGGAGCUGCUGGACUGUCUGCUGUCACUCCGCCGCCGCUCGGUGCCCCUCGGUCCGCCUACAGCGCAUGUUUGUUGUCAGCAUACGACCCGAGCGGCUCACUCGGGGAGCCACGCCCCCCCUCCGGUGACGCAACACGUAAGACUUACGUAGGAAGCAUGUUGUGGCAAUGUCUGGACAAACCGAGAAGUGUUUUAGUCCUUUUGAUGAAGACAGACAAGGCGCUCCAACUGAGAAUGAUGAUGGCCAACUCGAGCAGGUUCCACUUGCUCUUGAAGGCGACUCCAUCCUGGACCGUAGGACCCCAUGUCCUCCAACUCCCAGGAGUAUGGAGCGUGGCAGUCCGGCACAGAUCGCUGCAUGGAGCGAGCGACGCGGCAGGAGUUUUUCUGGAC